ensembl:lncRNA
UUGCUUGCAAACACACGUUUAAUUUAAUGACGCUUCAUACGCUACAUGCAAUAUCAAUAUGAAAUGUUUUGAGCUUCCUCUGAUGACAUUUUUUGGAUUUUGAUUGGGUAAUUUUCCAAAAUGAAUCCUUCCAUCCAUUCCUUAAUUCAGGUGAUCUCAAAGAUUGUCAAAUCCAUCUGGAAGCCGUGGAACUACCUGGCGGGGGAGGGUGAUGAGGAAGGAACACCGGGACCAAGUGAACAGGACAGGAAGGAGGAGACAGCCACCAAGGGCAGCCAGACGGAUACAGGAUCAGAUCCCCUCAGCACACCAGCUCCAGGUUUGUUUUCCUGGGGACGUUCAUGGUUCACGGGUCCCUCAAGGGGAAAUGCUGCAUCAGUGAGUGAAGAAUCACCCACUGGUCAGUCAACCACUCUGCCAGCCUCCACUGAACACCCCACGACUACAGAAAGCAAUCACAGCUCAGUGAAGCCAGAGAUCCAGACCUCCGCCACCUCCACCCCUGCAGUAGAAACCACCUCAUCCAGCGGGGGAACCUGGGUCCGUGUUGUGCCCUCAAAAGCGGAGACCACAACCCAGCUGAGUGACAAGAGGGAGGAGACGGUGACCUCUAGGGCUAGUGGUAGAGGAGGUAGAGGAAGGGGAAGGAAGAGGGGAGAAGACAGAGGGAGAGGAGAGGACAAGGGCAGAGAGGAGAGGGGGAAAGGAGAGGAGAAAGGGAAAGGAGAAGAGGAGGGGAGUGGCGAGCUUGGUGGUGUGGAAGCAAAAGGGGAGAUCCAGUUCACUCGUCGACCAGUUGGAACAAGUAAACCAAGAGAAAGAAACAGAGAAAGAUCCAGAGAGAGGGGUCAUCGGAGAGGCCAGUCCACGACUACCACCACUACCACCACCAGUCCUUCCCAGUCUACAUUUAUACCCGUAACUGGGUCAGACAGCACAAACCUGUCCUUACCCACUUCACCAUCUCCUACCCCAUCACCAAGCCCAUCAACAUCUCUAUUACCAAACACAUCCCAAAACGUUUCCUCUCCAGAAACUCCAUCACCUUCACCCUCCCCAUCACCAUCCCCCACAGCAUCCCUGUCCAACUCUUCAUCCCCGCUCCCUUCUUCUCCAUCCCCAUCUCCAACCCAAUCCUUGUUUGAAUCCCCAUCCCCGCCCCAAUCCACAUCCCAAUCCCAUUCUCAGUCUCCUUCGCCAUCCCCUUCAUCAUCUCCCUCAUCGUUCCCAUCCCCAUCCCUAUCGUUUUCACCAUCUCCACCUCCAUCUCAUACCCAGACUUUGGGAUCAGGGUAUCCAGCUCCACCCCCACGGUCAGACAGCCAGCCCGUCUCCAGGGACGUCCUCCCGUCGCUUCAGUGGGUCCCAGUGGAGAGAGCAGUUGUGCGAGGAGCUGUGGAGCACGCAAAGGGGCCUCCGGAUUCUCCUCCAUCACCCUCCGGCCCCCCAGAGGAGGAGGAGCCUGCUUGGUCUCAUUCUGUGGGCUCAGGGGCUCUGUUACCUGGCAACAUGGAGGACGAGGGCAGCAGAGGAGGAUUCAACCUCAGCAACAUGACUCUUGGCCCAGCAGGGAUGGGUGAGCUGUUUUCUUCACGGAGACGAGCUGCUGCGAGGAGUCAGCCGUGGAUAGAGAACAACUGUAAACUGUAUCGACAGGGAGCCAAGGGCAAGCAGCUCUGAUGCUGGUGUAUAUAAGGGUUGAUUGAUUGACUGGAAGACCCUGAAGUCAUCUAGGAACCUUGUGUUUUGUAAACCAGUUGCAUAAACAGUUCUGAUAUCUUUGCUGCACAAACAGAGAAAGUGGAUAGAGGAGCUCACGGGAGACUAGAUCUGAAUAAUGAGUCACAGUUUGCAAAUCUUCCUGUCACGCACUCACAUUCUCUCAUUUUCACUUCUCCCAGUCUGGUGUAGUGGGGGUCAGCAUUUGUUCUCCUGACUGGAUCACAGAGCACUUCAUCAGUCACUUCAAUCAGUGAGAGAGAAGAUGAAGAGGAGCCCCAUGUUGGCUUCACAGCUCUCGAGGACUCUCAGCAGCAAUACACAUUCUUGGCAUCAUUAUCAGUCACACACAUACACGCACACACACACACACACACACUCUCUAACAUAUGC